rnacentral:rRNA from 1 species
AUGAACGCCGGCGGCGUGCCUAAUACAUGCAAGUCGAGCGAACAGAUAAGGAGCUUGCUCCUUUGACGUUAGCGGCGGACGGGUGAGUAACACGUGGGUAACCUACCUAUAAGACUGGGACAACUUCGGGAAACCGGAGCUAAUACCGGAUAAUAUGUUGAACCGCAUGGUUCAAUAGUGAAAGAUGGUUUUGCUAUCACUUAUAGAUGGACCCGCGCCGUAUUAGCUAGUUGGUGAGGUAACGGCUCACCAAGGCAACGAUACGUAGCCG